rnacentral:rRNA from 1 species
UUGCACGCUGGCGGCAGGCCUCACACAUGCAAGUCGAACGGUAACAGGAAGAAGCUUGCUUCUUUGCUGACGAGUGGCGGACGGGUGGGUAAUGUCUGAGAAACUGCCUGAUGGAGGGGGAUAACUACUGGAAACGGUAGCUAAUACCGCAUAACGUCGCAAGACCAAUGAGGGGGACCUUCGGGCCUCUUGCCAUCGGAUGUGCCCAGAUGGGAUUAGCUAGUAGGUGGGGUAACGGCUCACCUAGGCGACGAUCCCUAGCUGGUCUGAGAGGAUGACCGGCCACACUGGAACUGAGACACGGUCCAGACUCCUACGGGAGGCAGCAGUGGGGAAUAUUGCACAAUGGGCGCAAGCCUGAUGCAGCCAUGCCGCGUGUGUGAAGAAGGCCUUCGGGUUGUAAAGUACUUUCAGCGGGGAGGAAGGGAGUAAAGUUAAUACCUUUGCUCAUUGACGGUACCCGCAGAAGAAGCACCGGCUAACUCCGUG